rnacentral:rRNA from 1 species
AACGAACGCUGGCGGCAGGCCUAACACAUGCAAGUCGAGCGAACCUUCGGGUUAGCGGCGGACGGGUUAGUAACGCGUGGGAACGUGCCCUUCUCUACGGAAUAGCCCAGGGAAACUUGGAGUAAUACCGUAUACGCCCUUUGGGGGAAAGAUUUAUCGGAGAAGGAUCGGCCCGCGUUGGAUUAGGUAGUUGGUGGGGUAAUGGCCUACCAAGCCGACGAUCCAUAGCUGGUUUGAGAGGAUGAUCAGCAACACUGGGACUGAGACGCGGCCCAGACUCCUACGGGAGGCAGCAGUGGGGAAUCUUAGACAAUGGGGGAAACCCUGAUCUAGCCAUGCCGCGUGAGUGAUGAAGGCCUUAGGGUUGUAAAGCUCUUUCAGCUGGGAAGAUAAUGACGGUACCAGCAGAAGAAGCCCCGGCUAACUCCGUGCCAGCAGCCGCCGUAAUAC